GCAGCAGUGGAACAACCUGGCGUCCCAGGGGUCUAACAAUAUAACAACGGUCACCGAUAAUUGUCUGGUGGAGUUCAGCUUCAGAUGUUGCCAAAUCAGCGCUUCUCGUUCAGCAAGCCCACAGUAUCCAAGCAACAAAGCCAUCCGCACAGCAACAUCAACUACAACAACAACAGUCCGCGGUUUGUGGGUCCCAGGGCAGUGGUGCUGACCCGCUUCUCAUCUUGCCAUGCGACUCCCUGGUCAACAGCAGCACACCCCGCCUUACAGUGUGGAAUCAAUGGAGUCAAAAUCUGCUGCCCCAUCCUUGUAGUCAUCCAAGUAUUGGCUUGGGGGUGAAGCUCAGGUUCAAGGUCAUUGCGAUACGCGGAUGUUUGACAGGUCCAUUAUGUGAAACACAGCCACUUUCCAGCUGAGAGGCCCAUGAUGGAGAUACCAAAAAACACCAAGAUACCAAGCCACAGUCUUGCUACCACGCCCCGUGUCCACCCCACCCAGAAGUCAGACCCCUGCGUCUUCAACCAUGCCACGUAACCACAGGGGCGUUAACUAAGACUUGAACCAAGACAUGGACUUUAACCGCGAGACAGUUUGGGAGGUCCUGAUCCAAUACUUCUGGUUCACAACUUUUCAGGAGUGACGGUACCCUCUGCCAGAUUAUCUUGGGGCGUCCUUAUCUUCAAAUCAGCCCCCUGUGUCCACUCUGGUCUCAUGGGAAUGUAUUUGAAUCUCCAGUAGAGCUACCAAAACCAACAAAGCAACUACCCACAGCCAAACUUGCUAGUUUACCCUAAACAUUUAACACAGCAGGGAAAUAAAAUACUUAUGCAAAAGGCCAAACCAUGCCUCAGCCAAAUGGCAGCAGCAAAAAACUAUUAUCUGGGGCAGUCAGGUUUGCCGCAAAAUGAGACCAAAAUGUUUGGCACCCCAGCAACAUCACAAGGUUACGUAAAAUAUUUAGAUUGUUCAAGAACAAACCCUGAACCCACCUUUCGGAGCAGGAAAUUUUAGCGAGGAACGAUUAUGGUGGAUAUCAAAUCUGGCUCAGACAAAAUAAACAACCUCAGGCACACCAACAGUUUUCAACGCUGUAACCUUAAGCUAGUGUAGCAGACGAGAAGAAAUGCUGACUAGAAGUUUGUAAGACAGUUGUUGGACAGUGAGGAAAGUGGACAGGAUUUAGCUAUAAGACAAGUUAGGAAAACCACGGUGAAAGAAAUCACGUUAUACCUGUAUAAGCUAAAGUUGAAGCCAUUAAUAGUGGAUGUUGUCGCUCCUAGGGAUUGUACAGAAGAAAUGCAAGAUGAUGCUUUUGUUUUUCAAUGAAGGGUUAUAGGUUCAUGAACAUGUAUCAAGCCAAAACUCUAUUUGUAUAAUGCCUACGAGCCUGGGAAAGCGUGGCUUAUUGCAUGUGUGUUAAGUGGCAGUCCGCAAAGACUAACCAGGGACGAUAUUUUACGUCCAGACUAGAUUCCCUGUUUGGAAAAGACUACAUUUAAACAAAAUUUCCUUAAAAGCAGAGAAUGUCGUCACUGAUUAGGACUGCAUUGGUUACCUGGCACUUUACUCACAUGCAUUCAGCACAGUUUUCCCAGAGACAGGCUCGUCCUAUAUUGAACAGUUAAGAUUGACAUUGAUUCAUUCAUGCAGUGGCUGCUUGAUCAAGCUAGUCCAAAAUCUUAAUAUUAUUCAUUCAGACCAAGACAUUUUUACAGCCCGCCAGUACUAAGAUGGAUUGAAUAUAAAUUAACUGGUUCAGGGCAUUUGGAUUGUACUACAUUUUGUUUAGUUUUUAGGUGAUAACACCUGAUUUAGUAUCCACUAUUAAAUAAUUGUUUUAGACAUUGUUCUGCACUCAUCAAAGUAUUUUUGUUUUGAUGUAAUAUACAAUGUUAUAAUAUUAAAAUGGCCAAGAUGCAAAUACAACAAGUCAGAUUAUGUUGCAAACAUGCAUUAUUCUGAGUAAGAGUUGAAAAUCAUGAAGUUGUCCUAGAUUUUUUUUUAAUCCAGUGCUUUCCACAGACCAUUUAACAGUAACUUGUGUGGGGUGGGCUUGAAUGUGGACAUCAGAGUCCCUGUGACGUUUGAAAUUUUCCAAUCAAUGUAUUUUUUCAGUAACUGCAACUAGCCUUUUUGGGGAUUAUGCAAAGUUUGCAAAUCCUUGCCGUCUCAUGUAUACAUUUGUUGCUAGAUUACGUAGUUUCUGAUCGAUAUCAAUAAUUGUAGAUAUAGUGUUACCUUUUGUUUAAUUCUUAGAUGAUAAAAAAAAGUUCACGUUCAUGAACAUUUUGUUUGCAGUUUGUUUUUGUUUACUUUUUUCAGGAUAAUGGCAUAUUUAUUUAGUAUACCACUGUGCCAAAAUGUCCACUUGUUAUGUUCAUCGUUGUUUAUAAAUAUACUUGCUAAUGUGCAAUGCAUUGUUAACAGUUAAGUUGGCAGACAAAAGUGUUCAGAUGUCUCAAAUUGCCGACUUUAAAUGUAACAAUAUUAAAUAGUGAUUAUAGGCAAUUAAUUUGUUCUCCAAAUGUCAGAGGAAUAUUCUGUUUGGAAGAUAGGAUACAGUCAUAAGAAAGUGUAUUUAUAUCAUGCAUUGAAAAUUUCAAUGAAAUUGUUUCAUUUGUUGAAGUUAUGUGUAGUUGUUAUUGAACUUGUGUUCCAUGUAUUAUUUCACUCAUGUGAAUAAUCAUAGUAAUAACAAAUACUUAUGUGCGCUAUACUAUUUUAUGAUGUUACUACGUUGGUGGCUCAAGUGAGACUGGCUUAUCAGCUCACUGUACAGUGUAAUAGUCAGGUUAUUCAAGCAUGCAGCUAUCUAUAGUCUGUAUCUAGUUACACUUUGCAACAGUAAUAUUGAACAUUCAUAUUCACAAAAUACAUUUCAUAAGGGACUAACUUAUUAAAUGUAUAGUUAGUUUACGUUUAAAAACCCCAUCUAAAGUCUGAAAUUGGGAAAGUAUUGAAUACAGUUUCGUGAAUAAUGGCAAUAUGAACAAUUGAAAUAAUUGUAAGCUAGUUAUCAAUGUUAUUGAAUUGUAUCAUACAUGUAGAUAAAUCUGUAAUUUAUACAUUUUCUGGCCAAUAUGUAUCUGUGCUUUUAAUUAUUUCUUGUUAUUGGUUUUAUAUUUGUUAGUUUUACAGAUCAUGUUGUGAAUAAAAUGUAAAUAUAAUUUUAUUUUAAACCGAUUAAAUUGUAUUGUUUGCAUUUUAUGAAAUGUAGGACAUUUCUUCAUCUCUAUAUUAAACAAUGUUGAGUUCUUCUCUCCACUUUUUAAUUAAAACACAUAGUUGUAAAGUUAUCAAGAACAACAGAUAAAAAAACUGUUGAGAUUUAGAGACGAUUAGUUUGUCCAAAAAGCUGCAUUCUGUGAUUUGAAAAAAGUACUGAGGAUACUAUACAAAAAUACUGAAGAUACUUUGAUGAAACUUGUUAUACUGAGUGCAAAGUGAGGAGUAAAGAAUGAUCCAAUUUUGUUUACACCUGCCCAUAAACAAAUGAGCCUUGCUCUGGGAAAAUGUAGCUAAAUGCAUAAAGUGUCGUCCAUGAAAAGCAUGUGUCAGAGACGACACUUUCAGUCUAAACUGAAUUUUAGUAUAGAAGAGAAUUCCAUAAAGGCGGCAAGUGUCAUCCCUGCACAGGCUAAUCUGGGACCACACUUUACGCAAUGCAUAAGGCCCCGUUUUCCCAGAGUGUGCUUCUUUCAUUAUUGCUAUAGAAGCUAUUUCCAUAUAGUUACAAUUUUAAACACAUUUUUUAUAUUAUUUAUCUAUUAAAAUUAUCUACGUUUAAAUUAUCUAAUCAUCAAUAAAAACACAUUAUGUUCAUG